AUAUAAAAGAGGUACAAAAGGGACUCUCAUGUAAGCAACAACAGGCAAGUAAAUGCAAGCACUGGACAGAGAGGCAAGCCAUCUCUACUCUCCCGACUCUUGUUUUCUUUUCUCUAUAUUAUUUCCAAAGCUCCGACUAACUUAAGUAUCAGAUGGUCCUCUGUCGGAACACACCAACAAGUAUAGACUUUCUUUGCAGCUACUUUCUAGCAUCG
rnacentral:lncRNA from 1 species